rnacentral:rRNA from 1 species
GACGAACGCUGGCGGCGUGCUUAACACAUGCAAGUCGAACGGAAAGGCCCUGCUCUUGUGGGGUGCUCGAGUGGCGAACGGGUGAGUAACACGUGAGUAACCUGCCCUUGACUUUGGGAUAACUUCAGGAAACUGGGGCUAAUACCGGAUAGGAGCUCCUGCUGCAUGGUGGGGGUUGGAAAGUUUCGGCGGUUGGGGAUGGACUCGCGGCGUAUCAGCUUGUUGGUGGGGUAGUGGCUUACCAAGGCUUUGACGGGUAGCCGGCCUGAGAGGGUGACCGGCCACAUUGGGACUGGGAUACGGCCCAGACUCCUACGGGAGGCAGCAGUGGGGAAUAUUGCACAAUGGGCGGAAGCCUGAUGCAGCAACGCCGCGUGCGGGAUGACGGCCUUCGGGUUGUAAACCGCUUUCGCCUGUGACGAAGCGUGAGUGACGGUAAUGGGUAAAGAAGCACCGGCUAACUACGUG